rnacentral:rRNA from 1 species
GACGAACGCUGGCGGCGUGCCUAAUACAUGCAAGUCGAGCGGAACUGGGGGAGCUUGCUCCUUCCAGUUUAGCGGCGGACGGGUGAGUAACACGUGGGCAACCUGCCCUGCAGAUCGGGAUAACUCCGGGAAACCGGUGCUAAUACCGAAUAGUUUGGCGCCUCUCCUGAGGCGCUACGGAAAGACGGUUUCGGCUGUCACUGCAGGAUGGGCCCGCGGCGCAUUAGCUAGUUGGUGGGGUAACGGCCCACCAAGGCAACGAUGCGUAGCCGAACUGAGAGGGGGACCGGCCACACUGGGACUGAGACACGGCCCAGACUCCGACGGGAGGCAGCAGUAGGGAAUCUUCCGCAAUGGACGCAAGUCUGAUGGAGCAACGCCGCGUGAGUGACGAAGGUUUUCGGAUCGUAAAACUCUGUUGUGAGGGAAGAACACGUACCAACUAACUAUUGGUACCUUGACGGUACCUCGCCAGAAAGCCACGGCUAACUACGUGCCAGCCGCCGCAGUAA